AUGACUUCUUCCUCCCCUUCCUCCUCGUCCUCCGACCCAGACUACCAGGUCGCCACCUCCGACCUCAACGAUGACGCCGCUACCGCCAUCCACCGGAGUCAUGCCGGCGCUGCUACCGUCAUCCUCCCGGAGCGCCCCGACGCCGAGGGCUUCCUCUCGUUUCUGCUCACGCCGGACGACGUCGACGCCGUGUGCAAGAAGUACGGCGUCCCCGAGGAUCAGUACACCGCGCGCCUCGCCGGCGACCUGCGCGCGUGCUCGCCCCCGCCGCUGGGGUGCGUCUACGUGUACGCGCACGCGUUGAAGGCCGGGAUGCGCGUCCCGCUGCAACCGUUCUUCUGCGAGGCGCUCGCCCACUUCGGCAUCGCGCCGACGCAGCUCGCGCCCAACGCAUGGCGCAUCAUGGCGGGCUUCCUCGUGCUCUGCCGCUCCGCCGGCGUGCCGCCGUCGCUCGCGGUGUUCAGGCGUUUCUUCGUGAUGUCCGUCCUCAACCACAAGCACACCAAAAGAUGGUACUACUUCCGAACCAGGUUCAAGGACAGCUCCGGCUUGCGCUUCACGGGGUUGCCAGACUCCAUCGACGACUGGAAGCGCGGGUUCUUCUUCCUCUCCUCGCCGACCCCGUGGCCCUGUCCCGUGGAGUGGGGCGAGCCGUCCAAGAGCUCCUUCGCGGACCCGGUGCUUACAAAUGAGGAGAAGAAAUCUGAGGCGAAGCUGCUACGUGCUACCGGCGGCGCCGCCGUUGAUAUCAGGAUAUGCUUGUACGACAGCAACAUUGCCGCUACCGUGGUAACUGCCGCAUCUCCGGCGCCGCCCUCUGCUGGUACUAGUGCCAGUUCCAAAGGGAUGGAUUCCGCCGUCUACGACAUGAUGAAAACCAUGCUGGCGGAGAAGAUGGCCAGGCAAGCGUCGGCCUCGGCAAAGAAGGUGAAAACCGAGCCAGGGUCGUCGCAGUUGUGCGGGAAGAAAGAGAACCUGGAUGAGGCCAACGACGAGGAGGGUCGUCCCCCUUCUUCGCACGCUCCACCUGCCGCCCGUGGCCACUCGGUGCCCACCAGCGUGUGUUCGCCACUGCCGGGACUCUCUGGGCAGCCACAAGACUUCGCCGACGAAGACGGCACAGACUGGGAGACUGCACGGCAGCUGCUGCAGGGCGCCGUCGGGCCACCGCAGCAGCGCGUGUUUGCGGCGACCGAGCGAUCCGAUGUCGUCGCGUCGAGCUAUGUCGCGUUUCUCCAGGUAUGCCCAAGAACGCGAUGUCAAAUUCAAGCUCUUCACUCGCCGGAGCAUGUUCACAUUAUUUGUGCGCAGGCGGCGAACUACGUGUCGUUCUCCUUGGACUACGCUCUGGAGCUGGAGGAGAAGCUGUUGGCGCAGGACGCGGAGAUCGCCGCGCUGCAGAAGCAGCUGGAGGAGACCAAGGGCGAGCUCGCCCAGGCGAAGGUGCCGCGGAGGUAG
rnacentral:rRNA from 1 species